UACGUAGGGUGCAAGCGUUAAUCGGAAUUACUGGGCGUAAAGCGUGCGCAGGCGGUGAUGUAAGACAGUCGUGAAAUCCCCGGGCUCAACCUGAGAAUUGCGAUUGUGACUGCAUCGCUGGAGUGCGGCAGAGGGGGAUGGAAUUCCGCGUGUAGCAGUGAAAUGCGUAGAUAUGCAAAAGAACACCGAUGGCGAAGGCAAUCCCCUGGGCCUGCACUGACGCUCAUGCACGAAAGCGUGGGGAGCAAAC
rnacentral:rRNA from 1 species